rnacentral:lncRNA from 1 species
AUUUCUCAAAGAUUACGGACUCAAUAAAGACAAGCUAGUUAGUAUUUGGGUGGCAGAAGGCUUUGUUAUAUCUCAAGAAAAUAUGUCACUAGAAGAUAUAGCGACUAUGUACUUGCGCGACUUGACAAGUAGGUGCUUCCUUCAGGAGUCUCAUAGGAAUCGUUUAAACUAUAUAAUGCAUGAUUUGAUGCACGAUCUGGCGCAAUUUGUUUCAGUAUAUGAAUGUUCAAAGAUAGAUAGAGAUAGAGGACAAUUGAGAAUCCCUAAAACUGUUCGAUAUUUGUCGAUAUGCUGUGCGAGUUUAGAAGAAAAGAAGUUAAUAGAGUUAGGGAGCUGCAACAAACUGCGCUCGCUUAUAAUACUUUCUGAAUCUAUGAUUGGAUCAGAUUCUAUAAUUGAUUGCUGGUUCUGCAGGCUCGCAAACAUCCGUUGUUUAAGAUUGCGCUUCCGUAAUAUAACAAAGCUUCCUGAGAGCAUUAGCAACUUAAAGCGUCUCCGCUACCUUGAUGUAUCUGGUAUAAGUAUCUGAACGUUACCCAAUUCAGUCAAUCAUCUGCGAAUGUCCAACAUGUUAUUCUCACACUGCUAUUUCUUUCUAAAUUCGCUCUAUUUUUUUUAUUUUCUUUUUUUUGAGAAAGAAAGGAAGGAAGAAGAUAUCACACUCCAUUUCUGUCACUUAAAACCUGGGGAAAAAGCUGCCUUAAUUACUCAAUUUAAUACUUGAGCUGAUAGCAAAUUUUGGAUAGUUAUUGCGACUGCAGAUCUAUGUCAUUUUCGAGUAUUCAUAUCCAAUGGAGAGGUACGAUGUGGUCCUUUUUUUCUUUUUUUUUUUCCCUCCUCGUUACCAAUAAUCUAUCCAUUUCUGCUGCUAGCCACAGAUGUUCAUUGUAAAUUUAUUCACUAGAACAUUGUAGGGUUGCAGGAGUAUUUAAAUAGCAGUGCUUUUGUGUCGUUUAUGCACUUUAAAACUUUUCGGUAACUGGCCGUAUCUGGCAAUCCAGCAUAGUUGACUAAGAGUUUGAUGAUUAAUGUUCAAGAUUCUAAGUUCGAAGUCUAUUUGCUUCGCAUUUGACCCCCUCAGCUAGGAAGCCAUUUUGAAAUGGCUACCUCAACUACCUUUCAUUAUUUUUGGCUACCUCAACCCUAUUAAUUUUGAUUUACAUCCCUUAACUUUUGAUUAUUUUUUUAGAAUUACUUUUUUUAGAAUUACACCUUAUCAUCCAUGUUAGCACCAACGUUAUCUAGAGAUCCAGUUAUUCCUACAUCUCAUAUAAAAAUCUUAUACAUCUCGUAUGAAGGAUAUUUUGAUAGUCAAAAUUGUUGUUGGCGAAAUAUUUCUAAUGUGAGAAAUGUGAUUUGUUAAUUGAUGUUUGGGUAUCAUGUAGUUCAAUCCUCUUAUUUAAUAUCAAAUUCCCUAACACAGCUUAUACAGGACUAACUCAAUGGUUGUUCUUUUUCUUUUUUUCUCAAAUAAAGGGGAGGGCUAAAAGUUCACGAAUCCUAAUGCGACCAGCGAGGAAGUUACCCGAGGAAGAAGAGGAAGAAGAUGAGGAGAGAGUCGAGUAACCAGCCAUUUUGGAGGAUCCACAUGCUCGAUUUCAACCAACAACCACUCUUGAUUAAUAAUUGCACUCUUAUUAAUCAUUACUCAGUUAUGCGAUUUUAGUUAUUUGAAGCGAAAAUUGCACUGCUAGUCUCGAAAUUAAGGAAUUCCAUUUGAAUCACAAAACUUUGUUGUCUUGCAAUUGGUGCACUGAAUUUCGAUAUAUUUUACAGCAGGAUUUAACCUUCAUGUGUCAGGAUUAAUAAUUGCACUCUUAUUAAUCAUUACUCAGUUAUUGAUUUUGAAUGUGUGGAUCGUUAAUUUAAACGUUGUAUCGUCGAAAAAAUGAGUUUAAAAACUCUUAUGGUAUCUUAUAUCAUAACAAGUCUAUCAAGAAUUAUGAUUUUAUUCGGAGAUCAAUAGUUCGGCGUUUAUAUUCAGAAAUCAGUAGUUGGGAGUCCAAUUCGUGAAAGUAUUUUGCUGGGUAUAUUAUCAUAUUCCGAUCUGAAAUGUUUCUGCCAAAUUCAAAAUGAUUUUAUACAGAGUUCAUAUGAUUUUAUUUAAACCUCUUAUGGUUCUAUCAGAAUACAAUAUGAUAUUGAUAUUUUAUAUAAUUUGUAUGAUAUAAUGAGUCGAAAAGUAAGGUGUAAGUCAUAUUGUAGGGUGAGGAUCCGUCAUGAAUUGACACUUUCUUUAACUUUCAAUUAUUUUUAAUUUCAGUUAUUUCCACAAUAUUAAGACAACAGCUUUAUUAACUCUCAGAUGUCAAUUAAUCAAUACUGGAAUUAACGUUCCUAUCAGUUUAAAAAUUGACAGAGCUUUUAAAAUUUAAUAAAAUCAUCAUUAAAUUUAAUAAAAUUCCUAAUAAAUUUAAAGCGAAUGAUUUAACUUAAAAGUUUACCUUCCCAGAAAUGGGCUGAACGAUGUCAGCAUGUAACAUCCCUUCUUGAGCAAGUACUGUGUCAACUAACAUCCCUUGAGAGUGUCUAUUAUUGUCCCAACCUUGCAGAUUCUGAGCUGCCAAUGCUUGAUGCCGACGACAACGUUCAGAGGAAGAACAUAAACAACCUUGUCCAUUAAACUGGCGCUGUGAUCUUUAAAGGAAUCUGGUUCUCUUCAUCGGAAAAGUCGCAAAUGCCAGUUCUUCUGAACUCGGUAACAUUUGUUGGAGAAAAGACCAAGAUGCGAAGGUUUUAAUCUCUGAAAAGAUCUACGCUUUUGGUUUUGUCGUAACUUAAAUCUGCUACUGGCUGAAUUGCAUAGUUGGACUUCGCUUCAAAAGAUAUUCAUUCACGACCGCCGUAAUAUCCACUCCUCGGCAGAGAAUGGUCUAUUCACCUCGUUGACGAAGUUAGACAGCUUUCACAGCUGCAGGGAGCUGUUUAUGCAACAAUUUGAUGAUGUAUGAAGGACAGAAGAACCCUUAACUUUCUAGAAUUCCAUGGCUUUUCAGCAGGUAUUUCUCAUACCACUCUUCCUUUCUGCAAUUUCCUCUCCUUUUCUGUGAUCUCCAACCUGCAUUACACAUGGUCUUAAAUUCUCCAUAUAACAUGCCCGAUAACUGAACACUUCCGUAUUGUUCGGCCCAAUAAUUUCAUGUGGUAUCUAGUAAUUUGGCUGCAUUCUAAUUCAGUUUCUUCCUUCUUUCUUGCGUGUUAAGUCGACAAACAAGCGUGCUGGAGUCGACUGAUGUUUUGAGAAGGCGACGGUGUUCCCACUUGGCUUGGACCUACGCGGCUUCUGCUUGCAGUUUCAUCUGGUGAGUUCGUGUACGGCGUAAACUUGCGGUAUCUUCUGCAGAGGGAUGGGAUGGUGAGUUUUGCUGAUGAAAGGAAUUUGGUUUAAAGUUGAAUUCGGAAUCUAAACGGGAAUAAGUAAAAAAUCAUUGCAUCAGUUAUGUGAUUACGCUAGCUAGUCGAAGAGUAAGUUGUACCACUAUUGUAUGAUUUGCUGCGAAUUUGCAUGUCAUCAAACUAUAAUUUCUUGCAAUUGAUGGACUAAUCCCUCGUAAAGUGUUAAAAAAAAAAUAAUGAAAUUAAAAAAAUUUACAGUUGAAGUGGUGACAAUUAAAUAAAAUUGUAGUCACGUUUCGAAAUGUCCUCUUCCUUUAUAAAACUAAUAUAUAAGCAGAUAAAGGAGUAAAAUGAAAGUCUCCAAUUUGGCAUAAUGUGGCCUAAUAAAAUCCGGGCAUUUUCAAUUUUUUCUCUCUUAAAUGGGCCUGUCGAAUGGCCCAGGACAUUGUUGUUAAUAGAGUCUUAAUGGGCUUGCAAUUUUUAUGUACGUUUUUUUUUUUGCCAUUUUAAAUAAAAUUGGUAAUCAUAUUCAAAAUCUUUUACUAUAUUCAUCGUCUCUUUUAGAUUUUUUUUUAUAAAAAAAACUUAAUCUUUUGGCCUUGCGUUGUUGGUGUGUGGCUUGAGAUGUACUCACUGCCAAAAAAUGGCUUAUGUUUAUAAUCACAGAUGUUCUAAUGUUCUUCUCCAAUUACGACAUACAAAGAAGCACCCGGGGAAGUAAUAUGGGUUGCAGGAGAAUUAAACACAUGAACACUAAAAUGAAUUUAAAAAUACCCGACGAAACCAAUAUCAGGAAACCAUAUAAUUUAUUUCCAACUAAACCAUGUUGAUCAAAUCACCAAACCGCCGCUGAUGACAAUAAAUAGCAAUUUUUAGAAUGCUUACACUAUGUGAUUUUUUAAGACACAAUAUAACAAAAGAUUUACAUUAGUGUUCGAAUUUUAUAUACCUGUAUUUUUGUUUAUUUAAUAAAAUUUAAUAUUUUAACAUAAAAUUUAUAGUAAAAUAAAAUAAAUAAGAAAUACGAUAGCAAAAUACUUUAUCUUCAUAUUACAUCCCGUCUGACGGUCUAAGGGGUGAAAACAAUCAAAUACGGUUAGUUUUUUUAAGAAAUCAUAUAUGCAUUCAAUUUUUUUUUUUUGUUCUCAAAUGCGAAUUAAGUUACGAAUAUAGGUCGAAUACUGAAUUUUGACCCCAAGUUAUGGAGCAACAUUCCAAAAUGUUAGUCUCGGUCCAAAGGGGUCCAGCCUAAAACAGGCUCCGUCUAGGCUUUUGUUGGCCCAAACACUCUCCACAGAGAGAAGAAGAGGAAGAAGAAUAAGAAAGAGAGAGGAAAGAGGAGGGGCUCAGAUUUCUCGUAUCAUUCCGUGUCCGACGCGGCCGCAGCCGCUGACGUUGGCGGACUGAUAGUCUGCCAGUGAAUUAUUUGGAAGGUAAAAAAUAAGAUAAAUGCGGACUCUUUUCCGGUGGCUAAUAAGAUUAGGUAACUGAAAAACUUGUGGAAGAAAUUUACCUCAGUAAAGUAGUUACUUUGUAUUUUGUUAAACUUUCUUUUGUUUUUUUCUUUUUCCGUCUCAACUGUGGUUUAUUACCUCAUCACCCCUGUAUCCUAGUUCAUAUUUUAAUAAAUAAAACGAAUAGCGAGUUAUUUUUUCCAAAAAAAAAAUUUUAAAAAAAGCGGGAUGAAUGAAUUCAAGUCCCUAGCAUUUUCACUGCAAUCUUACUGGCCCCUGCCGCCAAUUUUCAACAGCUGAACUCGCAGUUGAUUCUGCUUUGUCGCUUCCCCAUAUAUCCUCACCAGUUGUUGAAAAAUCUAUAUGGAGUUAGGCCAAAGGUUUAGGGGCUUAAGUGCAAUUUGUCUGAACAAAAGAAAAGAGGAGGGUGGUGUUCAGCUGCAUAUCAGCUUAGCUUGAUAUUUCAAACUUUGUUUGUUACUUUGUGCUUUACUACUAAUAAAUAAUAUUCCAGCAGUGUUCUUAUCUAGAGAACAGGUAUUUUGAUUUUGAUCAGUUUAAUCGGAGGCGGCCCAAAUUGUGACAAAAUGGAGUAAUUAACCUGGUAUCUAUAGGUACCCAGGAAGCAUUGAAUCCUCGAUCUCUAAUUCUUUCGAGUCUAUCGAACUAGAUGUUUUUCUCGCCAUAAAAUGUAGUCGAGAAAACGGCACCAGGAACCGCAACAUAAAAUUAUAUUUAAUUUUUUUUUCUUUCUUUUGUUUUUCGUUCCGAAAAACAGAUGCAAAUAUACUUCAUUCAUUAGUCCAGUUGGAAAGUACUGUUACAUUUAUGUAUGAAGUUAAGUUUCAGAAAUUGAGACUUCUAUUAAUUGUUUCUUCUUUGACCUUCCCCUACUCAAUAAAUCCUUUACUUGGUCCAAUGGUAGGGGUGCCCCGACUCUAGAGCGUCUGGAUCGCGCCUUUAUCUCCAAUUCCUGGCUCCUGGCUUUUCCCCGAUCCACUCUCCGAGCACUCCCGCGACCUCGAUCUGACCACACGCCUUUGGUACUUGCUGCCUUUACUUUCAUUCCUCACGCAAAUUUAUUCAGAUUUGAGAGCUACUGGCUGCGACACCCGGCUGUUUUCGAGGUGGUAGCCACGGCAUGGAACUCAAACUCGUUUCAGCGGGACUCCGACCCGGUAAGCCUCUUCUCACAGAAAAUCACCUCCGUUCAAUCGGCUCUGCGUUCUUGGAGUGUAGGUCUCACCUCAGCAUCUAAGGAACAAACCAAACUUUGUCUUCUCUGGAUCCAAUGGCUCGACAAAGCAGAAGAAGGUAGGGUCUUAUCGAACCUCGAGCGCAGCUUGAGACCGAAGCUUAAGGCUAGAUACGAAGAUCUGUGCUUACAGGAGGAGAUCAAGUGGAAGCAGAGGUCCAGAGUGCAUUGGCUCAAGGUUGGAGACGCAAAUACCAAAUUUUUUCAUCUCAAGGCAAAUGCUCGUAGGAACAAAAACUACAUCUCCAAACUCUCUAAUGGUACUUCAACACUUUCCUCGCCCGAGUCCAUCGCGGAGCACCUAUUCUCCUUCUUUUACAACCAACUGGGGGUGACACAAGAUCCUUCGGCCAAAAUCGACCUCCAUGCCGCCUAUUGUGAUGAAACCUUUGAUCUCUCUGGCCUUCAGAGCCCGUUCACUUUACCUGAAGUUAAGAGAGCUGUUUUCUCUAGUGCUCCUGAGAAGGCCCCAGGCCCCGAUGGGCUACCGAUGCUUUUCUACCAACGAUUUUGGAACCUCCUCAAAGAUGACAUUAUGAGUGUUUUCAACUGCUUCUACAAUGGCACGGCUAACCUGGAUUUGAUCAAUACGAUGUGGUUGUGUCUUAUUCCGAAGAAGAAGGAGAGUUUAUUCGCCAACGACUUCCGCCCUAUAAGCCUAGUACACAGCAUGGCGAAACUGAUCUCGAAGGUUCUAGCGUCAAGACUACAAAUCUUCCUACAUGAUUUAAUCAACCCCUACCAAGCUGCUUUCAUCAAGGGUCGACAUAUUUUCGACAACUUCAACUGUGCCCAUAUACUCAUCCACCACCUACAUACCGCCAAAGCCCGAGCAGCCUUGUUGAAGAUCGACUUCGAACGGGCCUUCGAUCGAAUAAAUUGGCAUUUCCUAUUCGACCUGCUACAAGCAAGGGGAUUUACUCCACGCUGGAUCUCUUGGAUCCAAGCCCUACUUCAAACAGCUAGCACGGCCGUGAUUCUCAAUGGCACUCCGGGCAAAAGGUUCACGUGCAAGAGGGGGCUGCGACAAGGCGAUCCGCUCUCUCCCCUACUCUUUAUCUUAUGCAUAGAUGUUUUGUUCAGGUUGCUCCAGAAGGCAACGACAACACGCCUACUACCAGAUCUUGGGAUCGGAAACGAAAGACUGCACACACUCCAAUUUGCGGAUGAUCUGAUUAUCUUUUUGGAUGGCUCUAUAAGGUCAGUUGCAACUACUAAGUUCAUACUUGACAUGUUUGCGGCAUGCUCGGGACUCUCAAUCAAUUUCAAUAAAAGCUCUAUCACCUCAAUCAACCUAUCUACUUCCCAAUCAGCAUCCCUAGCUAAUUCUAUAGGCUGCUCGGUGAAAGAUUUUCCGCUAACAUACUUGGGCUUACCUCUCUCUCCUAAAAGACUACGUAAAGCUGAUUAUAUGCCGCUUAUUGAGAGGCUUGACAAUUGUUUGGCGGGAUGGAAAGGGCUUACACUUUCAAGGGGAGGUCGGCUAGUGCUUCUAAAUUCGGUCCUCUCGAGCACCCCAUUAUAUUUUUGUUCGCUGUUUCAAAUGCCGGCCUGGGUGAUAAAGUCCAUGGACAAAAUACGAUGCCAUUUUUUUUGGAGGGGGCAAAAACUGCAUAAUGGCUUCCACUGCCUAGUCAAAUGGGAACAUGUAUGCCGCCCGAAACAUGCGGGCGGAUUGGGAGUCCGAAACCUUUAUGCGAUGAACUCGGCCUUACUCAUGAAGGGAUUAUGGAAUUUUUACAACUCCCAAGACCUUCCUUGGGUCAGGCUACUCAAGCAAAAGCAUUAUAAGCUUCGACAACUGUCGAUUGGAGGUAACUUGACCAUUAGAUGUUGCCAAAUCUGGAAAGGAAUACUCAACACCGCGCCUCCCUUUCAUGUGUCCACUUGUGUGUCACUGGGCAAUGGACAGACUACCUCCUUCUGGAAUGCGAGGUGGUCCGGUGAGUUCUCACUGCGAAAUCAAUUCCCUAAUCUCUAUGCAAUUUCAGCCCAUAAACAUCUCUCGGUUGCCACCUGGAUGCGACGUUUUGCUCAAAACAUCACACUAGCCUUCCAACCUGCGGCACUCCUGCGAGAACAAAUGGAAGAGCUCCCACAACUCACAAUGCUGAUCCAGAGCACUCUCCUAUCGAAUGCUAACGAUUCAACCGUUUGGCGCUGGAAUGACGAUGGCCGGUUUGAGGUACGUCGAGCUUACAACUUGCUUAUCUUCGAUGGCAGGACUGUUUACGGCAUCCCUUUCCUCUGGAGCCUCAAGAUCCCUUUGAGAGUUAAAGUUUUUAUCUGGCUCGCCGCGAGAAACAAAAUCCUCACAGCCGACACACUAUCCAAAAGGGGCUGGCAUGGUCCUUCGAUUUGCGUUCUCUGUUCGAUCAACGGGGAGAACUUAGAACACAUCCUUUUCUCUUGCAAUUAUGCAAAGGCUGUUUGGAACCUCCUGCUGCAAUCCGCUCCGACAACUCGACGCUUGUUGCUGACACAUCCAGGGGACUUAUUAGAGAGAUGGAAUCGUGCUCGAAACACUGUGAGGGGCCGGGGGAAAAAAUUGUUCGAUCUAUGCUUCUCGACAGCUUGCUGGGAACUGUGGAAGGAGAGAAACAAUCGAAUAUUCAGCGGACAGCUUACUCGAAGCGACGAAACAGGAAUGCGAGUGGCUAACACAAUGAAUCUUUGGCAACAUGCGCUAGGAGUAUGAUUACAUAAAAGGGCGAACUUCCCUGUGGGGCGAAUUUCCAUGUGGUCCUUUCGACACUUUCGCGCAGCUUUUACUUGUAUCUUUCUGUGUUUCCUCGCGCAGCUUUUACUUGUAACUUUUAACUUGUAACACAAAUAGGGUAAAUCCCUGUUUACUCAAAAAAAAAAAAAAAUUAAUUGUUUCUUUGAAAAUGGGAUUUUAAUCUAAAGGGUGUGUCUAAUUGUUUCCCCGAAGAAGAAUAGCAGUUGCUAAGUUUCAAUUACAAUUUGGUUCUUUUGAUUCUUGUUCAGAAAUUGGAAAGGAAGCUGUAAUUGAAAUCAAAGACCACAAGAGUAACUGAAUUAAAUUGCCAGCAUUUAGUAUUAAUGAAUCUCCUUUGACAGGUUUGCUGUUUUGGAUUAUUGUAAAUGUUUAAAGGUUGUGCCUCUUAUAUGCUUAUUUGAUGUGAAAUUAUAAAAUUUAGAAUGGCAUCUACAAUUUUGUUGCUUGCAUUGAGGUGUCUUAAGUUCUGAAUUGAAUCUUUUGAGUUCUCGACCUAAGUGAUUAUGAAUCUGUUAUUUUCAAAAUAAUAGUGUUAAAUAUGAUUAUACUUCACGAUUUCAGUUUUCACUGUCUUACUACCAAAAUUCAUUUGCCGUUUCGACACAUUUGCGUCUCUUCUCUCAUGUAGCUUCCCAUGACUUCGUCCUGCCGCGUGAAGCACGCGACAGUUGACACAUUCUAUUCCCUUCUUUUGCGCUGCUGAUGGAAUAAAUAUUUCCUUUUGGACUCUGCUGCUUCCAUAGCCCUGGAUAUGUCACAUCAGCUGAUCAAUUGUUAUUUAGGUUAUAAAGCAAUUUAUUUAUUCGAUUACAUAUUAAUUAUAUUUCCUCUACAGGUAUAGGAAGCAUUCAUAGUAAGCAUGCUAGCAGGAACUUUCGAGGUAACUUCUUCUGAAGCCAACUGCUGUGGAUUAGAUUGUUGUUGUAAAUAAAAUAAUACCUAAAACCGACGGAAGUCAAGGUUAGAUCACCAUAUGGCCUAUUUUUAAUGAAAUUCUUUAGCUCUCUUGAUUGGCAAAAGUAGUUGUCAAUGGCUGUGAGAUGAAUAAAUUAGCGCAAAUAAGUAAUGGUUAGAUCAUUUCCCAGGAACCACCUGCACCACAAAUUGCUUCCCCCAGAAACACCUGCAUUACAGUUGCGUCGCAGAGAUUAAAACUUUCAUCAUCUCUUCCGAGAGAGUGCACGUUUGUGUACCGAAAAAGAAGAGCUCUUGUUCUCAACCUCAAUUGAGUGGAUUCGAUCAUGGAUGCAAUCCCAUCUGCUGCGGUGUCCGCUGCUGAGGAGGAGGUCAGGCUCAGGCUGCUCUCCUCUUUCAGCGAAGAUUGUCGGAGGCUGGAGACGACACUGACGAAGAGCCGGAUCCUGAUCGACAGGGCUGAGCGAUGGAGCUUCAAGGAUGCAAGGCUUGCCCAGCACCUCACACAGCUCAAGGAUGCCGCUUACGAUGCAGAAGACUUCCUCAACGACAUCGACUAUCAGGAUCAGCAGAAAAAGAUCCAGGCCCAGCAAAGCCAGGCAAGUCAAUUCCUUCAUAAUUCUCUUAACUAUUUACGUAAUCUGAUGAACGGUGCUGCAAAGACCAUGAAAACUAUCCACAGGAGGUUGGAUACGAUUGCUGCUGAUUUAGAAGGACUUAUGGGCCAACUCGGUUUACAUGGCGAUUAUAGUAUGCCGGCGAACCGACAGAUGGGCUGCUUAGUCAACGAACCAAUAGUGUAUGGUCGAGACGAGGAACGGGAGAAGGUGAUCGAGUUGUUGGGCGUUCCACGCGGGCAAAGCAAUAAUGAAAAUGACAGCGUAAGUGUAUCUGUCCCUACUAAGAGAAGAAAGAAAGAAAAUGUGUCUGUUCUUUCCAUUUAUGGCAUGGGAGGGGUCGGCAAGACUACUCUAGCACAGGUUGUCUACAAUGAUGAGAGGGUGGUGAAGGACUUUAACCUGAAAAUUUGGAUUUGUGUUUCUGACAACUUCGAUGUGAACAGCUUAAGUAAAGAGAUCAUAGAUAAUGCUGGGAAGGGGUAUGAGACUGAUCAUAUGAAUUUAAGUUCUCUUCAAGAGACUCUAAAGAAGAUAGUGAUGGCACAUUGCUUCUUGCUUAUCCUUGAUGAUGUGUGGAAUGAGGAUAGUAGGGAGUGGCAAAAAUUUUAUGCGCCUUUGAGCUAUGGGCAAGAAGGAAGUAUGAUCCUGGUGACAACUCGGACUUUGAAGGUUGCCAACAUAGCAGGAACAAUGGACCCCAUCUUCCUGGAGGGUUUAUCAGGUAAUGUUUAUUGGGAUUUCUUCAAGUCAUGCGCAUUUCGCUGUGAGAACCCUGAAGACUAUCCGGAGUUAGAAAAAAUAGGAAUAGACAUUGCUGCUAAGUUGAAGGGAUCUCCAUUAGCUGCAAAAACUCUGGGAGGCCUGUUGAAUGAGGACAUGGGUGCCGAACAUUGGACUACGAUUUUGAACAGUGAAUUAUGGGAACUACCGCAGAAGGAAGGCGACAUUCUUCCGGCCCUUCGAUUGAGCUAUUUGUAUCUUCUGCCACAUCUGAAGCGAUGCUUCUCAUUUUGUUCAAUAUUCCCAAAAGAUUAUGAGUUCGAUAAAAGUGAUCUAACUAGUAUUUGGGUAGCAGAGGGCUUUGUUAUACCUCAAGGAAACAUGCUACUAGAAGACAUAGCGACCAUGUACUUGCGCGACUUAACAAGCAGGUGCUUCCUUCAGCAAUCUCAUAGGGAUCCUCUAAACUGUGUAAUGCAUGAUUUGAUACACGAUCUAGCGCAAUUUGUUUCGGUAGAUGAAUGUUCAAGGAUAGAUAAAGGUAGAGGACAAAUUAGAAUCCCUAAAACUGUUCGACAUUUGUCGAUAUGCUGUACAAGUUUAGAAGAAAAGAAGUUAAUGGAGUUAGCGAGCUACGACAAACUGCGCUCGAUUAUAAUACUUUCUAAAUUUCGGCGUGGAUUAGAUUCUGUAAUUGAUUGCUGGUUCCGCGGGCUCGCAAAUAUCCGUUGUUUAAAACUUAGCUUCUGUAAGAUAACAGAGCUUCCUGAGAGUAUUAGCAACUUAAAUCAUCUCCGAUACCUUGAUGUAUCUGGUACAAGUAUCAGAUCUUUACCCAAUUCAUUGUGUUACCUCAACAAUCUGCAAGUGUUGAACGUAACGAAGUGCCGGCUUGGGUGUUUUCCUCAAGGAUUUACUAGACUUCAAAACUUGCGGAAACUUUACCCUAGAGAAGCUAUAAUUUCCAAGAUAAGUGAGAUUGGGAAGCUAACUUCUCUUCAAUAUUUGCCUCAGUUUGAAGUCCAACAGGAUGAUCAACACAAAAUUGGAGAACUAAAGCAUAUGGCACAGCUUCAUGGAUGCUUGCAUAUUAAGAACCUUGAAAAUGUAGAGAGCAAGGAAGAUGCUUGUGAAGCUGAGCUGGACAAUAAGCCGUACCUUGAUGAACUGAUUUUAGAAUGGUCUCGGAGAACAAGCAAUUCUCACCAUGAUAUGGAGGUGCUUGAAGGCCUUCAGCCACACCAAAAGCUUAAACAGCUGGAAAUCAGACACUAUGGUGGUACGACAUCUCCCAGUUGGCUACGACCUCAAACAUUAACCUGCUUAAGUAAACUCCACAUUGAAGAAUGCAGAAAACUUACCGAAUUACCGUGCCUCCCUCCUUCCCUUACGUCACUGGUGCUAGUAAAUGUUGGCCUGAAUUCACUUCCUAGAUUGUGGGAUGACCGCCAAGAUUCAACCAACGAAAGCAGCAGCAGCAGCAGCAGCAGCAGCAGCAGCAGCCACAGCAACAGGAGUUCUUCGCUAUGUAACUUACACAUUUCACGAUGCUUCAGCCUGACGAAUCUUGACGGGUGGCUGAUGCCACACUACUUGCCAUCCCUUGAGGCAUUCAGAGUCGAAUAUUGCAAAAAUUUGACUUCGCUUCCUCCUGACAACUUCAAGGAUUUUGUUUCUUUGAAGACAAUGAAAAUAAUAGCUUGUCCUAAGCUCACCUGCUGUAGGGAGCUGAUCUUACCCACCUCAAUUAAUGAGGUUGUUCUCCGUGACUGUGGUGAUUUGGAUCGAUCACUUCCUGGCUGCCUACAGAACCUUAAAUCUCUCACCCGUUUGGUGAUACAUCGUAGUCCAUACAUAACAUCCCUGCCGGAGCAAGUGAUGUGUCAACUCAAAUCACUUGAGAGUCUGUCUAUUGUGAAAUGUGAAGAGCUUAGCUCUUUAGGAGGAUUAGGUGUUCUUGCAUCUCUCAAAGAUAUCAGCAUUCGCUACUGUCCCAAACUUGCAGAUUCUGAGCCACCGAUGUUUGACUUCACCGAUGAAGUACAGAGGGCGGAGAUCUGUUUGUGCAUUGAUAGGACAACUCUUCUGAAGUUGCAAUCUUUGAGGAAUCUGGUACCCUUCAUUAGAGAACUCGAGAUGUUCUGUUCUUCAGAACCAGAAAUGUUUGUUGGAGAGGACAGAGAACUGUUGUGGUGGUUUAAGUCACUUAAACAUCUACGAUUUUCGUAUUGUGACAAACUUAAUUCGCUACCGACUGAGUUGCAUAGAUUGACUUCGCUUCAAAAGCUAUCCAUCCAAAACUGCUCUAAGAUCCACUUCUUGCCAGAGAAUGGCCUACCCCCCUCAUUGACGAAGUUAGACUUCCACGGUUGCAAUGAGGAGUUCACGCGACAGUUGAAGAUGUAUAAAUCGCUGAAGAACCUUUAACUGUCUAGAUUUUCAUGGCUUUUCAACAGGUACUUCUCAGACUCUCAGACAGCUAUUUCUUUCUAAAUUCUCUCCAUUUAUGCUGCUAGCUACGGAUGUUCAUUGUAAGUCAACUCACUAAAACAGAGUAGGGAUGCAGGAGUAUUUAAAUAGCAGCGCUUUCGUGUCGUUUUUUUGUGUCUUUUAGACAGUUCACAACUUUUUAGUAACCAACCGCACCCGGUGCAGGUGGCUAAGAGCUUGAUGGUUGAUAUCCGGAAUCCUAAGUUCAAAACAUAUUUGCUUCACAUGUGACCCCCUCGGCUAGAAGCCACUUUGAAAUGGCUAUCGCAACUCUAUUAAUUUUGAUUAACAUCCUUAAGUUUUGAUUUUUUUUUUUUUUUUUUUAAGAAUUACACCUAAUCAUCCACAUAAGCACCAACCUAAUCUAGAUAUCCAAUUAUUCCUAAAUCUCAUAUAAAUAUCUUACACAUCUCGUAUGAAGGAUAUUUUGAUGGUCAAAAUUGUUGUUGGUGAACUAUUUCUCAUGUGAGAAAUGUGAGUUUGUUAAUAUCAAAUUCCCUAAGACAGCUUAUACAGGACUAACUCAAAUGGUUGUUCUUUUUCUUUCUUUUUUCAAAUAAAAGGAAAGCCUAUAAGUUUUCAGAUUCCUAAAGUGACCAGCGAAGGAAGGUACCUGAGGAAGCAGAGGAAGAAGAUGAUGAUGAGGAGAGAGUCGAGUGACCGGCCAUUUUGGGGGAUCCACAAGCUUGAUUUCAACCAACAACCAUUUUUGAUUAAUAAUUGGGAGUCCAAUUCGUGAAAGUAAUUUUGCUGGGUAUUAUCAUAUUACGAUCAGGAAUGUUUCUACCAAAUUCACGAUUAUUUUAUAAAGAGUUUUUAUGAUGGUUUUAAUUAAACCUCUUAUAGUUCUAUCAGAAUACAAUAUGAUAAGACAUUUUAUGAUUUGUAUGAUUUGAUGACUCGAAAAGUAAGUUGCAAGCCGUAUAUUUGUAGGGCGAGGAUCCGUCAUGAAUUGUAAUUUAUACUAGUUUUUUUUUUUUUUUUUUUUUUUUUUUUUUUUUUUUUUUUUUUUUUUGAAGUGAAAAAUGUAAUUCUUGUAGCACAUUUUGAUGCAGAUAUCUCUCUGCAUUUUCUUUUUCCUUUUUUCUUUUUUUAAAUUGACAUUUUCUUUAACUUUCAAUUACUUCAAUUACUUUUAAUUUCAGUUAUUUCCACUAUAUCAAAACAAGAGUUUUAUUAACUCUCGCAUGUCAAUUAAUCAAUUUUGGAAUUAAUGCUCCUAUCAGUUUAAAACUCGACAAAGCUUUUAAAAUUUAAUAAAAUCGUCAUUAAAUUUAAUAAAAUUCCUAACAAACCAGACAUUGGCUGAAUAAAAUGUCCCCUCUCCCUACAUAAUGUGUAAUAGUGGCCAAGUUCAAAUUAAACACAUAAAUAAUGUAACAUACCACGUUCCUCGUGACCCGUGCCGAGUUCCGUCAAAACGAGCGGAACGCGGAGUGGAACGAGUUAGAUUGGACCCUAAGUGCAUUAGAGUCCAUAAAUGAAGCUAAAGGGACCCGAGAGAGCAAAUCUGAAAAUCUGGCUAAGUCCCAGAUUUUCAGCUCUCGGGGACCGGUCCCUGAAGGAGAGACCGGUCCCCGUACGCGUAGCCUGCCAAGAAUUCUGAGGCAUCCGGUCCCUGGUGGUGAGACCGGUCCUCGGGAGACCGGUCCCUGAGGGGGCAGAUCGGUCCUUCGCUGCGCAGCAGUUGAAAAACUCGAAAAUUUGGCUAAGUUCUUGAAACCCAUCGUUCGGGAAUCGGUCCUUGGUCGAGGAGACCGGUCCCCGAAGGCGAAAAAUGCCCAGUCUGGGCAGUUCAAUGGGAAACAAGUGGAGGGGUUUAAGUGCAAUUGUUACAACACUACAUAUGGCCCAACCCCUCUCUCCCACAGCCAUUUCUCUCCUCCUCUCUCAUUUUCUCUCUUUCUCUCUCUAGAACUCUUGCACUAGAGCUUGGAGAAGAAGAAGAAGAAGCAAGGGAAGGUGGAUUUGGAGGCUUUGGUGGGUUCUACAAGCUCUCCUACAAGAAGGACUUGGAGGAGCUUGGGCUAAGGUAAGUUUUUGGUAUAAAUGAGUCUAGGGCUUGGUUUUGAUCCUUAAGAUUUGGAGUUUUGGGUUGUUUUUUAGCCUUGGGAGCCUUCUAUAGACCUUGAACUCCAUGGAAACCAUGAGAGCUCAAGUGCUCUCAUGGUGGAUGGCUAGGGUUCACCAUAGGAGCCCUAGGGUUAGUUCUAAAGGUCUAGAAACCUUACUAGGAUGCUUCUUAGAUGAUCCUAAGCUAUUGUUUGCUUAGGGUCGAGAUCGAUUCAUAGGGGAAUCCUAAAUGACAUUGUUAGGGCUUGGAAAUUGGGGCUUUUGCCCUAGGAUUUUUCGGGGACGAAUUAACCCGGUAGAAACCUAAUUGGGGGUGCCCUAGACGCGUGGGACAACUCCGUUUAACAUUACGAAAAUGUUAGAGCAUAGUCCAUGUACAAAAAGGGCCUAAUAUGGCGCUAUUUUCGUUGUAGGGCGCGGAAUCGGCUUUCGUAAAGUUCGGGAGUCGUCACAUUCUACACCCACACGAUCAUUAGAGGUGGGGGGUGCACGCCGGAAUCGUUGGAUUCCCUUCUAUGUCUAUUUCUCUAUUCUUGAACAUAUGGUUGUAUAGUCACUCAUGCAUAUUAGGGUUAAUUUAUAUGUGAACUUUGGUUGUUUCAUUAUGUUUCUUCAAAUGUAUUGGAAAGUAGAAAGAUAUGGGACCAUGAUGGACAUGUACUGUUGAACCCGAGAGAUUGCAUGAUUGUGAGACUUGGUCUUGGCAAUAGAAAAUGACUAUGACAUUGACAAUAGAGAGAUAGAUUGGCAUUGACAAGUAAGUGUUAAAUAUAGGUUUAACCAUAGUGAUAUUGGGACAAAAUGAUUAGCGAGUGACAUGAACAAAUGGGUUGAGAACCUAGCAAAAAAAAAAAAGUGGCAUAGUAACUAAUGGCUAAGCAUCCUCAAGUUGGGGAUUCGAUCGAUACUCAUGAUACGUCUUGGCUUGAGGGCGGUAGCUCCCCCUCAAGCGGUGAGUUUCCGGAAAUAGUCACCUUGGGAGCGAGGUCCCUUACGACGGUCCCUAGGGGUGGUUUGAGGCCCCCUGUUAUGACGGGAUUUGGGUUAUGAGUUAUUAGGGUUAACAGAGUUAACCGGCAAGAUUGGGUAAGAGCCAAAGCUUAUUUAUGAUUGGAGCAUACAUGCAUUUCCAUUAUCGCAUUGAUUAUGUAUAUCCGCUGACUUAUUUCUUGCAGGCAUAGUAUUAGUUGCAUUAGUAUUGGUUACUUUUCUUUCCUUGAAAUACUUAUGCCUGGAUAGACCUAGUGGGUAAGUCGGCGAGGUCGGAUGCCGAGCCCACUGGAAACUUUGUUUAAUUCUCACACCACUAACCCUACAGGUCUUAGCACGAGCGGGGCGGCGGAGGACCGAGGCAAGGGUUUAGCGCCGUAGAUAGCGGCCACCGAGACUAUUUUAUAUUUUGUAGUCAUUCCCUUUUGUAUGUAUGUAAUCAACUUCUUGUUGAUUUAGCAAGUUGUAAAGUGGAAAACAUUAUGUAAUUUGGUGAAUGGCUAAAUGUAAGGAAUCAUGAAUGAAAUGUAAUAGUCUAGUGUACUUUUAUUUGAUGCUAAUGCAAUCAAGUAGUAUGUAUGGUUGUAUGCAAUAGCUUAGAGCUUCCGCUUCCGUUGUUGCUUGCCCUCGUGGAAGCCUUGUAUUAUAUAUGCAAAUCUCUUGUUGAUUGCUUAUUUAUACAUGCUGUUAGAGCCUUGGGUGGACAGGGGAGACUCUGUCCGUUCGGCGUCUGUUGACGUGACCCGAACCCGACUAAAUUGGCGGGGAUUGGGGCGUGACAAAUAAACCCUCGAACAAAAACAAUUAGAAGUAAAAGGUUGCAGGAGAAUUAAACAAAUGAAAACUAAAAUGAAUCCGAGAAACUCGACAAAACCGCAUCAGCAAACAUAGAUUACCAACUCAACCGUAAAAAUGUUGAUCAAAUCACCAGAGACAAACUCAUUAAACUACCUUUCCAAUUGCCAAUGACAAGAGAAACAUUCUGUAGCUUGUUUAUUUAUACUCUUGACUAUUUCAAUUGAUGAUGAAGCAAUACAUUCCAAUGAUAGCACGAAAAACUUAAGCGCAAUUUCGAUAACACCUAACAAGAUGUUUACAGUAGCCCUAGAAACACAGAGCUAGACAACAACUACAAUAAUAGAAAGGAGCAAAAAAAAAAAAAAAAAAAAAAANGCUCUUGGCCCACAUUUUGUUUGAUCAGCUUAUAAGAAUCAUCAUGCAUCUCACAGCUACAGAAGUAAAUCUUAAAAUUAACUUCAUGUCAAUCAGAAGAAAUUUUACUUAACUGUUUAUCCAUGAGAACAAUUUAAAUGCUGCUAAGUGGGCAUAAAGAACCUACAAUAUCAUUCUUGGAUCUAGAAGCGAUUUGUGAGGAACAGUAGUAUACACUUAAGUUUGAGCUUUGUCAAACAAAGGGAUUUAGCAAUAUGAGAUUAACCCAACCAACUUCAUCUCAUUCUUACUUCAGCGGCAUAAAUAUCAUAUAAUUAAUCAGUCAUUGAGCAUGAAGAAGUAUCAUAUAUCACAUAAAAGUUAAGAUUACAUACUAUUCCAUGCCCAAGAAAAUGUGCUCCAAAUCCUGGAAGCACAGAACCUCGGGCCGCAAAAGAGUUCAGAUGUUAAAAUUCUCUCAACAUCACGGAAAGAUUCAACAAUUGCAUAGUGCUAAACUUGCUCUUGUAGACAUGACAAAAUAAGCCCAGUAAAGGUUCAACAAAUACAAGGAUUCAAAACCAAUUCAGAGGGCUUUCCAGGUUAGAGUAACUAAAAUGUAAGCAACCUGGCAAUGUUAAAGUAGCGUAAAAUAAUUAGAGUAACUAAAAUUUCAAAUUUAAAAAAAACAGGCGACGUGGCUUAACGACAGAACGUCGCUUUUCAAUGAAGUAUUUUGCAACAUAAAAUUAAAACAAAUUUAGCGAAAAAAUUCCUCCGAAAGAAAAUAAAAUUUAAGCAGCUCGGCAAUGCAAAAAACAGUGUAAAAUAAUAAUUAGGAAAGAGAGGAAAAAAAAGAGAGCAAACAAAAUUUCUGUUUCUCUUGACCAUCCUGUUACUGCUCCACUCUUUUUUUUUCUUUCCUGAAUUUCUUUGUAUGUGCGUGUCUUGGGUUAGGAAAAAUAUAGAGAGAGAGGGAAGAGAGAGGGGAGAGAUGACAGUUUUAAUUGGAAAGUAAAUUCAUGCCCCUUGGACAAGAGGCCAUGUGAGCCCAUAUGUGCGUGUGUGUUGGGAUAGAAAGAAAUGUAUAGAGAGAGAGGGAAGAGAGAGGGGAUCUAAAAUAGGUAAGUACAUGCCUAUGGAUAUAGAGUUCAUGUCGGACCAUGUGAAAGGGAAGAGAGGCCAUGUGAGAGAAAGAUAACUCAUAUGAAAAAAAUGACGACGUGGCUUGACAUAGGGGUGUCGUUUGGUUUCUCCUUUAUUAUAGAGUGUCAGCAGUUCUCGGCGUGUAUCAUGUUGGUUUUUAGAAUUUAAGUUCAUCUCCGAAUUCAAAUAUGUCACGGCUAUUGCAAACAUGGCAUUCAAUUUCCAUACCAACUACGUCGAUCCAGAAUUUUUUUUAGAUAAGAUCGCUCUAUAAUUCAUGGUGGAUAUUCACUUGGGUGUGCUUCUAAUCUCUCCGAGUAUGUAAACUGCCUCUUCACAUUUCUGCAGGAAGAGAAGAGAAGAAAAAAAAAAUAAAAUGUCAACUGUGUUAAAAAAAUUAGAAGACAUAAUAUAAAAUAUUCACAGUAACUAAAACUUUAGAUUUAGAAAAAAAAAUAGGCGAUGUGGCUUAACGAUGGAACACCGUUUUUCGACGAACUCUUUUUCUUCACCAAAAUCAAAACAAAUUUAGUGAAAAAAUUUCAUCCGAAGAAACUAAAAUGUAAGCACCCCGGCGAUGUUAAAGUAACGUAAAAUAAUUAGAGUAACUAAAACUUCAAAUUUAAAAAAAACAGGCAACGCGGCUUCACGACAGAGUGCCGCUUUUCGAUGAAGUCUUUUGCUACAUAAAAUCAAAACAAAUUUAGCGAAAAAAUUCUCCGAAAGAAAACAAAAUUUAAGCACCUCGGCAAUGCAAAAAAUAGUGUAAAAUAAUUAGGAAAGAAGAGGGGGAAAAACGAGAGCAAAUAAAUUUUCUGUUUCUGUUGACCAUACUGUUACUGCUCCACUCUCUUUUUUUUUUUCCUUCCUGAAUUCCUUUGUGUGCGCGUAUCUUUGGUUAGGAAAAAAAAUGUAGAGAAAGAGAGAGGGAAGAGAGAAAUGAGAGAUGACAGUUUUAAUUAAAGAGCAAAUACAUGCCCCAUGGACAAGAGGCCAUGUGAGCGCAUGUGUGCGUGUGUAUUGGAUAGAAAGAAAUCUAGAGAGAGAGCGAAGAGAGAGGGGAUGAAAAAUAUGCAAGUAUAUGGCUUGUAGAUAUAGAGUACAUGUCGGACCAUGUGAAAGGGAAGAGAGGUCAUGUAAGAGAGAGAAAACUCAUAUGAAAAAAUAACGACGUGGCUCAACGUAGGGAUGUCGUUUGGUUUCUCUUUUAUUAUAGAGUGUCAGCAGUUCUCGGCGUGUAUCAUGUUGGUUUUUAGAAUUUAAGUUCAUCUCCGAAUUCAAGUAUGUCACGGCUAUUGCAAACAUGACAUUCAAUUUUCAUACCGGCUGUGUCAAUUCAAAGUUUUUUUUAAAUAAGAUCGCUCUACAAUUCACGGUGGAUAUUCAUUUGGGUGCACUUCUAAACUCCCAAAGUAUGUAAACUUGCCUCUUCACAUUCUGCAGGAAGAGAAGAGAAAAAAAUAAAAUAAAAUGUCAACUGUGUCAAAAAAAUUAAAAGUCACGAUAUAAAUAUUUACAGUUACUAAAACUUUAGAUUUAGAAAAAAAAACAGGCGAUGUGGCUUAACGAUGGAACACCGUUUUUUAACGAACUCUUUUUCUUCACCAAAAUCAAAACAAAUUUAGUGAAAAAUUUCAUCCGAAAAAAUUAAAAUGUAAGCACCCAGCAAUGUUAAAGUAACGUAAAAUAAUUAUAGUAACUAAAACUUCAAAUUUAAAAAAACAGGCGACACGGCUGCAAGACAGAGUGCCACUUUUCGAUGAAGUCUUUUGCUACAUAAAUCAAAACAAAUUUAGCGAAAAAAUUCCUCCGAAAGAAAAUAAAAUUUAAGCUACCCGGCAAUGCAAAAAACAGUGUAAAAAAAUUUGAAAAGAAGAGGGAAAAAAAAAAGAGCAAACAAAUUUUCUGUUUCUCUUGACCACCCUGUUACUGCUCCAGCCUCUUUUUUUUUUUUUUUUUCUUCCUGAAUUCGUUUGCGUGUGCGUGUCUUGGGUUAGGAAAAAAAAUAUAGAGAGAGAGAGGAAAGAGAGAGGGAAGAGAUGACAGUUUUAAUUGGAGAGCAAAUACAUGCUCCCUGGACAAGAGGCCAUGUGAGCCCAUGUGUGCGUGUGUUGGGAUAGAAAGAAAUGUAGAGAGAGAAGUAAGAGAGAGGGGAUGUAAAAUAAGCAAGUACAUGGCCUAUAGAUAUAGUCCAUGUCGGACCGUGUGAAAGGGAAGAGAGGUCAUGUGAGAGAGAGAAAAUUCAUAUGAAAAAAUGACGACGUGACUCGACAGAAGGACGUCGUUUGGUUUCUCCUUUAUUAUAGUGUCAGGACAAGAGGCCAUGUCAGUCCAUGUGUGCGUGUGUUGGAAUAGAAAAAAAAUAUAGAGAGAGAAGAGAGAGGGGAUGUAAAAUAGGUAAGUACAUGAUCUAUGAAUAUAGAGUCCAUGUCGGACCAUAUAAAAGAAAAGAGAGGCCAUGUGAGAGAGAGAAAAUUUAUAUGAGAAAAUGACGACGUGGCUCGACGAGGGACGUUGUUUGCUUUCUCCUUUAGGAUAGAGUUUAAUUAUUUAGCUCUCUUGAUUGGCGAAAGGAAUAGUCAGGGACUCUGAGGUUAGACCGUUAGAUCACUUCCCAGGAAGCUUCUCUUUGUCUCUUUGUUACCAAAUUUUCAAAGCCCUUUGGAAAUUUCCACUACCAGAGACUUAAAACAUUCAUAUUCUCCUCCGAAAGUGCGAGCGUUGCGUACCGAGAUUCUCAACCUCUCUCUUUGUCUCUUUAUUCCCAAAUUUCCAAAGCCCUUUGAAAAUUUGCCACUACCAGGAAACUUUCACUAUCUCCUCCGAAAGAGUGCGCGUUGCGUACCGAGAGAAAGGAAGGAGAGCUCUUGUUCUCAACCUCACCUCAAUUGAGUGGAUUCGAUCAUGGAUGCAAUCCAAUCUGCUGCGGUGUCCGCUGCUGAGGAGGAGUUCAGGCUGCGCUCCUCUUUCGGUGAAGAUCGUGGGAGGCUGGAGAGGACACUGAGGAAGAGCCGGAUCCUGAUCGACAGGGCUGAGCGAUGGAGCUUCAAGGAUGAAAGGCUUGCCCAGCACCUCACACAGCUCAAGGAUGCCGCUUACGAUGCAGAAGACCUCCUCGACGACAUCGACUAUCAGGAUCAGCAGAAAAAGAUCCAGGCCCAGCAAAGCCAGGCAAGUAAACUCUUUCAUAAUUCUCUUAACUAUUUACGUAAUCUGAUAAACGGUGCUGCGAAGAACAUGAGAACUAUCCAAGGAAACUUGGAUACGAUUGCUGCUGAUUUAGAAGGACUUAUGGGCCAACUCGGUUUACAUGGCGAUUAUAGUAUGCCGACGAACUGACAGAUGGGCUCCUUAGUCGACGAACCAAUAGUAUAUGGUCGAGACGAGGAACGGGAGAAGGUGAUCAAGUUGUUGGGAGUUCCAUGCGGGCAGAGUGACAUUGAAAACGACAAUGAAAGUGUAUCUGCCCCUGCUAAGAGAAGAAAGAAAGAAAAUGUGUCUGUUCUAUCCAUUUAUGGCAUCGGAGGGGUCGGCAAGACUACUCUAGCACAGGUUGUCUACAAUGAUGAGAGGGUGGUGAAGCACUUUGACCUGAAAAUUUGGGUCUGUGUUUCUGACAACUUCGAUGUGAACAGCUUAAGUAAAGAGAUCAUAGAUAACGCUGGGAAGGGGUACGAGGCUGAUCGUAUGAAUUUAAGUUCUCUUCAAGCGACUCUAAAGGAGAUAGUGAUGGCACAUCGCUUCUUGCUUGUCCUUGAUGAUGUGUGGAAUGAGAAUAGUAGGGAGUGGCAAAAAUUUUAUGCGCCUUUGAGCCAUGGGCAAGUAGGAAGUAUGAUCCUGGUGACGACUCGGACUUUGAAGGUUGCCAACAUAGCAGGAACAAUGGACCCCAUCUUCCUGGAGGGUUUAUCAGGUGAUGUUUAUUGGGAUUUCUUCAAGUCAUGCGCAUUUCGCUGUGAGAACCCUGAAGACUAUCCGGGGUUAGAAAAAAUAGGAAUAGACAUUGCUGCUAAGUUGAAGGGAUCUCCGUUAGCUGCAAAAACUUUAGGAGGCCUGUUGAAUGAGGACAUGGAUGCCGGACAUUGGACUACGAUCUUGAACAGUGAAUUAUGGGAACUACCGCAGAAGGAAGGCGACAUUCUUCCAGCCCUUCGAUUGAGCUAUCUGUAUCUUCUGCCGCAUCUGAAGCGAUGCUUCUCGUUUUGUUCGAUAUUCCCAAAAGAUUAUGAGUUCAAUAAAAGUGAUCUAACUAGUAUUUGGGUAGCAGAAGGCUUUGUUAUACCUCAAGGAAACAUGCUACUAGAAGAUAUAGCGACCAUGUACUUGCGCGACUUAACAAGCAGGUGCUUCCUUCAGCAAUCUCAUAGGGAUCCUCUAAACUAUGUAAUGCAUGAUUUGAUACACGAUCUAGCGCAAUUUGUUUCGGUAGACGAAUGUUCAAGGAUAGAUAAAGGUAGAGGACAAAUAAGAAUCCCUAAAACUGUUCGACAUUUGUCGGUAUGCUGUACGAGUAUAGAAGAAAAGAAGUUAAUGGAGUUAGCGAGCUACGACAAACUGCGCUCGAUUAUAAUACUUUCUAAAUUUCGGCGUGGAUUAGAUUCUAUAAUUGAUUGCUGGUUCCGCAGGCUCGCAAAUAUCCGUUGUUUAAAACUUAGCUUCUGUAAGAUAACAAAGCUUCCUGAGAGUAUUAGCAACUUAAAGCAUCUCCGAUACCUUGAUGUAUCUGGUACAAGUAUCAGAACGUUACCCACGUCACUGUGUCACCUCAAUAAUCUGCAAGUGUUGAACGUAAUGAAGUGCCCGCUUGAGUGUUUUCCUCAAGGAUUUACUGGAUUGC